UUUUUCCUAAUUUUAUUUAUUUUAAAAGAAUUUUUGUCUUGAUUUGACUUAAAUCCGUAUAAAAUAUCAAACUAGAGACAUAGGACGUGUUAUGCAGCAUAAAAAACAUUAUUUUGUUAAAGAUUGAGACGAAAAUUGGUGUUUCAAAAAAUUAGUUCGACAGAAUCGUGUUGGUGAUUUUAAACAAAACAAAUCGGGAAAAUUCAAACGUGGCUUGAUUUUCAGUAAGGAACAAUGUUGGAAACCAGGAUUUAUUUGAAAUAUCAAGUAGAAGAAUUGUGGUUAUCAUCGCUAAAUUUUUUUGUUAAAUCAUCAGUAAACUCGGAAGAAUCGUCUUGUUCAAAUUCAUCGUACACAGGUGGGAAUUCGCUGCACGAGUCACUGUCGGAAUUUUCAUGAGGAUCAUCAAGCGGAUCAAUUUCAAAAUUGCUCGUGGAAUCGUCGCUACUCCAACUUUCUAUUUCACUUGCCGAUAAGUUGUCGGAACUUUCGUUCACACUCUCGGAAGAUUCUUCUGAAUCUGAAUCACUCUCUGCAUUGUCAUCCUCAGAGCUAUCUUCAUAAAAAUUUAAUGUUUUGCAACACAAAUUGUUUUCAUCACUAUCAAGACUGCUAUCGUCACUUGAACGAUCCAUUUUCAAUUUAGCGAAUUUAAAGACAUUUUAAAAUAAAUAAAACGAAUUUAAAUUAAUUUAUCAACAGCUUUAAACUCAGAAAGGCGUACGCAUUAAGGCAUAUGGCUAACG